AUGGCUGCCCUCAGAUCCUUUGUGAAGCCCAAGAUCAUCAAAAAGACAACUAAGAGGUUUAUCUGGCACCAGUCAGACCAAUAUGUCAAAAUUUAGCUUAACUGGCAGAAACCUAGAGGUGUUGACAACAGUGUUCGUAGAAGAUUCAAGGGCCAGAUCUUGAUCCCCAACAUUGGUUAUGGGAGCAGCAAAGAAACAAAGUACUUACUACCCAGUGGCUUCUGGAAGUUCCUGGUCUACAACAUCAAGGAGCUGGAAGUACUGCUGAUCUGCAACAAAUGUUACCGUGCUGAGAUUACUCACAGUGUUUCCUCCAAGAACCACAAAACCAUCUGGAAAGAGCAGCCCAGCUGGCCAUCACAGUCACUAGUCCCAAUGCCAGGCUCCACAGUGAGGAAAAGGAA
rnacentral:lncRNA from 1 species